ACUCCUACGGGAGGCAGCAGUGGGGAAUAUUGGACAAUGGGGGAAACCCUGAUCCAGCCAUGCCGCGUGUGUGAAGAAGGCCCUCGGGUUGUAAAGCACUUUCAGCGAGGAAGAACGCCUAGCGGUUAAUACCCGCUAGGAAAGACAUCACUCGCAGAAGAAGCACCGGCUAACUCCGUGCCAGCAGCCGCGGUAAUACGGAGGGUGCGAGCGUUAAUCGGAAUUACUGGGCGUAGAGCGCGCGUAGGUGGCUUGAUAAGCCGGUUGUGAAAGCCCCGGGCUCAACCUGGGAACGGCAUCCGGAACUGUCAAGCUAGAGUGCAGGAGAGGAAGGUAGAAUUCCCGGUGUAGCGGUGAAAUGCGUAGAGAUCGGGAGGAAUACCAGUGGCGAAGGCGGCCUUCUGGACUGACACUGACACUGAGGUGCGAAAGCGUGGGUAGCAAACAGGGUUAGAUACCCUGGUAGUCCACGCCGUAAACGAUGUCGACCAGCCGUUGGGUGCCUAGCGCACUUUGUGGCGAAGUUAACGCGAUAAGUCGACCGCCUGGGGAGUACGGCCGCAAGGUUAAAACUCAAAUGAAUUGACGGGGGCCCGCACAAGCGGUGGAGCAUGUGGUUUAAUUCGAUGCAACGCGAAGAACCUUACCUACUCUUGACAUCCUGCGAAUUUGGUAGAGAUACCUUAGUGCCUUCGGGAACGCAGAGACAGGUGCUGCAUGGCUGUCGUCAGCUCGUGUUGUGAAAUGUUGGGUUAAGUCCCGUAACGAGCGCAACCCUUGUCCUUAUUUGCCAGCGCGUAAUGGCGGGAACUCUAAGGAGACUGCCGGUGACAAACCGGAGGAAGGUGGGGACGACGUCAAGUCAUCAUGGGCCCUUACGAGUAGGGCUACACACGUGCUACAAUGGUUCGGUACAAA
rnacentral:rRNA from 1 species